rnacentral:rRNA from 1 species
GUGCCAGCAGCCGCGGUAAUACAGAGGUCUCGAGCGUUGUUCGGAUUCAUUGGGCGUAAAGGGUGCGUAGGUGGCUAGGUAAGUCGGAUGUGAAAUCCCGGGGCUCAACCCCGGAACUGCAUUCGAUACUGCCUGGCUAGAGUACUGGAGAGGAGAUUGGAAUUUACGGUGUAGCAGUGAAAUGCGUAGAUAUCGUAAGGAAGACCAGUGGCGAAGGCGGAUCUCUGGACAGUUACUGACACUGAGGCACGAAGGCCAGGGGAGCAAACGGGAUUAGAUACCCGGGUAGUCC